GUGAACGCUGGCGGUAGGCCUAACCCAUGCAAGUCGAACGGCAGCACAGUAAGAGCUUGCUCUUACGGGUGGCGAGUGGCGGACGGGUGAGGAAUACAUCGGAAUCUACUUUUUCGUGGGGGAUAACGUAGGGAAACUUACGCUAAUACCGCAUACGACCUACGGGUGAAAGCAGGGGAUCUUCGGACCUUGCGCGAUUGAAUGAGCCGAUGUCGGAUUAGCUAGUUGGCGGGGUAAAGGCCCACCAAGGCGACGAUCCGUAGCUGGUCUGAGAGGAUGAUCAGCCACACUGGAACUGAGACACGGUCCAGACUCCUACGGGAGGCAGCAGUGGGGAAUAUUGGACAAUGGGCGCAAGCCUGAUCCAGCCAUACCGCGUGGGUGAAGAAGGCCUUCGGGUUGUAAAGCCCUUUUGUUGGGAAAGAAAGGCAGCAGGUUAAUACCCCGCUGUUCUGACGGUACCCAAAGAAUAAGCACCGGCUAACUUCGUG
rnacentral:rRNA from 1 species